CCUACGGGUGGCAGCAGUGAGGAAUAUUGGUCAAUGGACGAGAGUCUGAACCAGCCAAGUAGCGUGAAGGAUGACUGCCCUAUGGGUUGUAAACUUCUUUUAUAAAGGAAUAAAACGAGGCACGUGUGCCUUUUUGCAUGUACUUUAUGAAUAAGGAUCGGCUAACUCCGUGCCAGCAGCCGCGGUAAUACGGAGGAUCCGAGCGUUAUCCGGAUUUAUUGGGUUUAAGGGGAGCGUAGAUGGGUUGUUAAGUCAGUUGUGAAAGUUUGCGGCUCAACCGUAAAAUUGCAAUUGAUACUGGCAGUCGUGAGUACAGUUGAGGUAGGCGGAAUUCGUGGUGUAGCGGUGAAAUGCUUAGAUAUCACGAAGAACCCCGAUUGCGAAGGCAGCUUACUAAACUGCCACUGACAUUGAUGCUCGAAAGUGUGGGUAUCAAACAGGAUUAGAUACCCGGGUAGUC
rnacentral:rRNA from 1 species